rnacentral:misc_RNA from 1 species
UGAUUGUCAUAAAGGCUGAAAUCAGGAAGAGAAUGGAAUCACUAUGCUCUAUGCAAUUUGGCCUUUGAUGCAUGUUUCUAAUUGUUUUGAUAUGCAUCAUCAAUCUCUUCAAUCUCUCUGAAUUUCAUGUCUCCGCGAUAUAAUUUCUGACAUGCUCAUCUUAAGAAAUAUGCUAGAUGUGUUGGCAGGCUCAUUUUGACUUCCUGAUUUCAGCCUUUAUGACAAUCAGCACUACAUAGCAAACUAAAAGUUUUUCUGAAAGGAUUAUUUUAAUAAUUGAAACAGAAUGGACAUGUCUUAUAAACCCAUAAGACGAUUAAUUAAAAGAAACUGUCAGUAAUUGAACCUAUGAAGUUAUAACUGUCACAUUGGAUCUACAUUUUCAAGAUG